rnacentral:lncRNA from 1 species
CUUUUGCCUGCGGCCACCUAAGACGUAACUUUGCUCCUUAUUCGCUUUCCGCCAUGAUUGUGAGGCCUCCCCCACCAUGUGGAACUAAAACGUCCUAAUAAGAAGAUAAGGUGACCGAAUAAGGGGAUUACUUGGCAGAGAUAUGAGAGAACUGGGUUCUUGACCCCACUUUGCCAUGAACUUGGCACUUCUCCUUCCUGCCAUCAUGUGAAGAAGGACUUGUUU